UACGGAGGGAGCUAGCGUUGUUCGGAAUUACUGGGCGUAAAGCGCACGUAGGCGGCUUUGUAAGUUAGAGGUGAAAGCCCGGGGCUCAACUCUGGAACUGCCUUUAAGACUGCAUCGCUUGAAUCCAGGAGAGGUGAGUGGAAUUCCGAGUGUAGAGGUGAAAUUCGUAGAUAUUCGGAAGAACACCCGUGGCGAAGGCGGCUCUCUGGGACGGUACUGACGCUGAGACGCGAAAGCGUGGGGAGCGAACAGG
rnacentral:rRNA from 1 species